rnacentral:rRNA from 1 species
UACAGAGGUCUCAAGCGUUGUUCGGAAUUACUGGGCGUAAAGGGUGCGCAGGCCGCGCGGGCAGUCAAAUGUGUAAUUCAGGGGCUCAACCCCUGCACUGCGCUUGAUACUUCCGCGCUCGAGCCUUGGAGAGGAGUCUGGAAUUCUCGGUGUAGCAGUGAAAUGCGUGGAUAUCGAGAAGAACACUUAGGGCGAAGGCAAGGCUCUGGACAAAUGCUGACGCUCAUGCACGAAGGCUAGGGUAGCGAACGGG